rnacentral:lncRNA from 1 species
CAGUCAUUAAGUGGCCUUGACUCUUGCUGGUCAACACACACCUUUCACUGCAGGUGGCUCUGCGUCCAGUAAGGCUGCUGCAUACUUCUGUAGUUGGAUUUCAAUCAUACGAUUUCAAUCAUAUGAAAAGAGGAAUCCCAGAGAGGAAAGCUUUUAAAUUUGUCAUCUAAGAUCAAAGAAGGCCCUCCCCCUGUACAGCUCCCCCCAGCUUCUGCUGUUUCUGCGACCACAAGGAGUGGGGAGAAGACCCAAGCCGGGGUCGCAGCAGUGACCCACCUACACAGGAGAGAAGACAAAGCAAGACAGCCUCUAUUUCUUCACCACGGCGACACCAUUCUUAUGUGUUCUGCCUGUGUUAAGGACAAAAGCUGCUGUUCACAAGAGAAAAAACGAUAAAAACUGGGGCUGGCCGGUGGCAUAGUGGCAUUUCCUUCCCAUGACAUGGCCUCUACUCUGGGGAAAAGGAUCUAUGAUUUCCAAAGCAAUUUUAUUUUUGGCUUCUGGUGCUGCACCUGACACGUGAGAGUGGUAUUAGAUGGGGGACCACACUUGUUCACCAGGAUGGAGCCUCCUGUUUCAUUUCACACCCCCUUCACACAGCCUCCUGCAACUGCUGAUUGUAUCUGGCCGGUACCCACAGGGCUGGAUUCUGGCCAAAGGGAGGAGACGCCCAGCACCAAGACCCCGAGGCAUCCUUUACUAUCCCUUUCUCAAACCCCAGAGCCACGCCAUUCCCAUGUCAUAAAACUUCUGAAGCGGGCACUGAAGCCAAGAGGGGCGGCGCUGACUCAAGCCGAGCCCUCGCCCUCCCCGGCUCCUCAGCCACAGGCUGGGCCAACAUCUCAAAGCAGCUCAAGAUGGUCCCAAGAGCGGCGAAGGCCUCCCAGGGCUCCACCGGGUGCCAGGCCAGAGGAAAGCGGGACAGGGGCGGGGGCCAAGGGCUGGAGACCCCACGGUGUUUCAUGGCACAGCGACACCAGCUCAGAGGCAGAUGGCCGUGGAGGAGCAGCCUGUGACAGAGAGAGGGUGCGGGCUCUGUGAGUCACGCCGGCAGGUGUGUUAUUAUCGAAGUGAUGUAGGGGUCUGGAAUGUGACUUAGAAGGCAGUAAGGAGACAUUAUCCAUAAACACAUUAACUGCUUCAAGUAAACGGCACUAAAAAGUGAAGGCAGCCCCAUUCUUGUGAAAUCUCUGCUCUCAGGCCAUGAAUGAGCAAAUAUAAGUGGUGCGUAAGCAGAGUAAGUGACACGGGCAGGCUGCCAUUUCUUUCUAGAGGAAGCCAGACGUUUGUUCCUUACUCUCUGCACUGCUCCCCGGCCCUGUCCCCCGACAUGAUUCCCAUGACCAUUUGAAACAGCCUUUCUGUACGUGAUAUCCUGUUAGUUCUUAAGAAAAUCUGACUCUUUCUUGCCAUCCUGACCCAGGAAGUAAAGCCUUCCCCUUUCUUGAAGUAUUACUAUUUGACUUCACGCUAGAGGGCAAGAGAGCUGUCACACUAGAAGGCAAGGGGUCCCCUAUUUGUUCCUGUCUUUCAGGCUCACAAAGGAUGUGUUUACAACCCACUGUGCACGUGCACAGAGCUCCUCCAGCUGGGGCCCUGGACAGUGAUCAAUGGCGGUCACUUCCAGCCUUCCAAUUGCUGACUGUAAUCCGAGACGCAGAAUGACCGUCUUCCAGGCUCGCUUCCACCAGCAACGUAGCUGCCGACGCCCCAGACCAGGCUCUUCUGAGCUCCAUGAGCCUGUCUCCAUCUGCCAACCCAGCAGCCUCACCUGAGUGCCCCUCAGGCAUCUCAGGGAGCAUUUUAUCAUCACCAAGAUCACCUCGGCAAAGACAGACUCAGGGGGCAGCCCUGACCAACGAGACCCAUAAGUCGAUGGUGACCUGUUCCAAUUUCCACAUCGUGUGUGUUCCACCUUCUGCUUCCCUGUCUGGGGAAUUAGGAUAGUUUACAAUUUGAAACUUGCUUCACCUUGUUUCCACUUGACUUUUUCCUUUUAAUAGUAUUAUUAUCAUCAGUAAUAAUACUAAUAGUACCUAUAUUUGCCCAUACUCGUGACUUUUUCAGUCCCUCUAGAUGUUGCAUAUUAUUUCAUUAUUAUUGUUUCAUGAUAACUUUAUAGGCAGUUGGUUUAUUUUGAGCAAAUUCAGUAUGCUAUUAAAGAGUAUCAAUACCCAUCUUUAGGUUGUAAUUUACUCAGUCUUCAUACAAAAGACAUUAGAUGCUGUCUUCAUACAUUAGCUCAAACUUUGGCUGAUGUCUGAUAUAAGAGAUUAGUUUUUCCCAGACAUAACUUUUUGCUUAACUAAAGGCUUUUUUCCUGAUUGGGAGAAAGGAGGAAAAAACUGACAUUUAUUGAAGCCUGAUAUAUAGCAGGCACCUUUUCAUAGCUGAUCUCACAGAGUUGUCCACUGGUCCUAAGAGACAGCUCUUAGUCCGUAUUAUAGACAGGAACGUGGGAAUAUUGCCCAAGGUCGCAGAGCUAAUAUGUGGCAGAUCCAGAAUUCAAAGUCUGGCUCAAAACAUUCCCAAAACGAGCCUGAAUUUCUGAUGUUAAAUGCAAGACUCUUAGAAUCUCAAAGCUAUAAGUAAGUAUUCAGCACUGAUAAGACUAAAUAAAUCAUAUGAAACCUAGUCAUAAAGACAGAGUCCAUAGGUCAGAAAUAAUCUUGUAAAAAAAAACCUGCACAGAAAAUUCAACUUGUAAACUUAAUUACUUGGUAGGGACACUUGAUUUUCAAUUACAUCACCUAAAGGAUAAC